GAUGAACGCUGGCGGCGUGCUUAACACAUGCGAGUCGAACGGAAAGGCCCAAGCUUGCUUGGGUACUCGAGUGGCGAACGGGUGAGUAACACGUGGGUGAUCUGCCCUGCACUUCGGGAUAAGCCUGGGAAACUGGGUCUAAUACCGGAUAGGACCACAUUUUGGAUGGUGUGGUGGAAAGUUUUUCGGUGUGGGAUGAGCUCGCGGCCUAUCAGCUUGUUGGUGGGGUAAUGGCCUACCAAGGCGUCGACGGGUAGCCGGCCUGAGAGGGUGUACGGCCACAUUGGGACUGAGAUACGGCCCAGACUCCUACGGGAGGCAGCAGUGGGGAAUAUUGCACAAUGGGCGCAAGCCUGAUGCAGCGACGCCGCGUGGGGGAUGACGGCCUUCGGGUUGUAAACUCCUUUCGCUAGGGACGAAGCGCAAGUGACGGUACCUGGAGAAGAAGCACCGGCUAACUACGUG
rnacentral:rRNA from 1 species